UACGGGGGGGGCAAGCGUUGUUCGGAAUUACUGGGCGUAAAGGGCUCGUAGGUGGCCAACUAAGUCAGACGUGAAAUCCCUCGGCUUAACCGGGGAACUGCGUCUGAUACUGGAUGGCUUGAGGUUGGGAGAGGGAUGCGGAAUUCCAGGUGUAGCAGUGAAAUGCGUAGAUAUCAUGAGGAAUACCAGAGGCGAAGGCGGCUACCUGGACAAUUGCUGACGCUCAGGCACGAAAGCGUGGGGAGCAAAAGGG
rnacentral:rRNA from 1 species